UACGGGGGGAGCAAGCGUUGUUCGGAAUUACUGGGCGUAAAGGGCGCGUAGGCGGCAUGGCAAGUCGGGAGUGAAAGGCCUGGGCUCAACCGAGGAACUGCUUUCGAGACUGCCAAGCUAGAGUGCGGAAGGGGCAUCUGGAAUUCCCAGUGUAGCGGUGAAAUGCGUAGAUAUUGGGAAGAACACCUGAGGCGAAGGCGGGAUGCUGGGCCGACACUGACGCUGAGGCGCGAAAGCCAGGGGAGCAAACGGG
rnacentral:rRNA from 1 species